GAUGCGCCGAGAAAUGGUCGGG
rnacentral:tRNA from 1 species